rnacentral:rRNA from 1 species
AACGAACGCUGGCGGCAUGCCUAACACAUGCAAGUCGAACGAGACCUUCGGGUCUAGUGGCGCACGGGUGCGUAACGCGUGGGAACCUGCCCUUAGGUUCGGAAUAACUCCCCGAAAGGGGUGCUAAUACCGGAUAAUGUCUUCGGACCGAAGAUUUAUCGCCUUUGGAUGGGCCCGCGUUGGAUUAGCUAGUUGGUAGGGUAAAAGCCUACCAAGGCGACGAUCCAUAGCUGGUCUGAGAGGAUGAUCAGCCACACUGGGACUGAGACACGGCCCAGACUCCUACGGGAAGCAGCAGUGGGGAAUAUUGGACAAUGGGCGAAAGCCUGAUCCAGCAAUGCCGCGUGAGUGAUGAAGGCCUUAGGGUUGUAAAGCUCUUUUACCCGGGAUGAUAAUGACAGUACCGGGAGAAUAAGCUCCGGCUAACUCCGUG